CUGGUUGAAGUGCCCUGUGAAACAUCUUCAAAAGUAACUGAUCGGAGAAACAAAAGGAGCGUAAGUUAAGAUUAAAAACAAAGAGCAUUUUAAGGAGAGAAACUUGCAUCAGAUCUUAUAUCCAGGAAAAAAACUUGCUGGAUUACUAUCAGCUUCAUAGAGUAACAUUAACAGCUUGCUUUGAAACUUGAAAAGAUCACAGCUCACUUUUACUCAAAAGAGACACAAGACAAUUUGCUGGUAAAUACAAAUACUGCUAUAUACUGCAAAUACAAUACACUGGUUUAUAAUUUCUGUUUAGGGCAAUUCUCUUCUUGAAGUUUUCUUCAUAUAUAAAUGACAGUCAGUAAAUAUGUAACAAUAGACAAGUAAAUCUACAUGGGUUACUUUAAUGGACUAUUGUCA